AUUGAACGCUGGCGGCAUGCUUUACACAUGCAAGUCGAACGGUAACAGGCCGCAAGGUGCUGACGAGUGGCGAACGGGUGAGUAAUGCAUCGGAACGUGCCCAGUCGUGGGGGAUAACGCAGCGAAAGCUGCGCUAAUACCGCAUACGAUCUCUGGAUGAAAGCGGGGGACCGAAAGGCCUCGCGCGAUUGGAGCGGCCGAUGUCAGAUUAGGUAGUUGGUGGGGUAAAGGCCCACCAAGCCAACGAUCUGUAGCUGGUCUGAGAGGACGACCAGCCACACUGGGACUGAGACACGGCCCAGACUCCUACGGGAGGCAGCAGUGGGGAAUUUUGGACAAUGGGCGCAAGCCUGAUCCAGCAAUGCCGCGUGCAGGAAGGAGGCCUUCGGGUUGUAAACCGCUUUUGUCGGGGAAGAAACGGUGGAGGUUAAUACCUUCUGCUAAUGACGGUACCCGAAGAAUAAGCACCGGCUAACUACGUGCCAGCAGCCGCGGUAAUAC
rnacentral:rRNA from 1 species